GAUAUGCCUCUUGUGCCACCAUUGUGUCCUCACUAAUUAGUUUGUGAUGAGAUUUUUUGUUGAGAAGUUACCAUAGGAAAUGUGCACACUGGCGCCACGUUUUACCUCUGUUAGGAAUUAUUACUUAUUUGUGAGGAUCAAAUUUUUCUUUCUCAGUUUGAAGAAUAAACAGGAGGUAAGAAACCUGAGCCAGUGACAGCCUUCGGAUCCCGAGUCCACUCCAUGCAAUGCCCCGCUAUUGGCUUUCACUCUUCAAGAGUGAUUUCAAUGACAUUUUCAGGAAUUAGGUUUCCAAAUCAAGGCUGUUAUUGGAUAUCCAGAAAACAGAAAGGUAAGUGCUGUAUUCAUUACAACGUUACAAUGCUAUGUUGGAACAGAAAGACUCUUGACUUUUCCAUCAGCCUUAUACUUAAAUAUAGAAUCUAAGACAUUUUUACAAGGUAGAGGAAGAACAAGAAAUUGCUGGCAAAAGGAGCAGUUCUGAGGUUGCAGAAUCUAAAAUAAUUUCAGGUGGCUGAUUCAAAGCUAGCUAAUUUCCCUGAAUGUGCCACAAUCUUCACGUCGGUGGUACUAGCUCAGAUUUGCCUUGCCCAGAUCAACAUAGCACAUAGAUUUUGUGAACAGGGAGUAACAUAAGCAUAGUGGGAGCCCAAGGAGAGCGAGCAGGUCUCCAAAAGGGAUACAUUUAUCCUCAUCAUCCAAGUAAAUCUGAAGAAACCACGUAAAAGGCGACAUUUUAAUUGUUAGGCAAAAUUUCCAGCAAAGCCAAGAGAAGCUUGCUUGUGUGGGAGGGACCAGGAGAAGUAGGGCCUCUGUGCAUGUGUGAGCAUGUAGAACAGAGCAGAAAAACAGUUGUUUAUGCAACACUGAAAUUGAGAAAUGAAGCAGUCAAGCGAUGCAGUGCUAGGGUUGAAUGCUCAGCUGUAAUGUUGCCUCCCAGUAUAUAAGGUUCAGCAAUGGUGUGUUUGUGUAUCGUUAUGGAUCCAUGCAACAAACAGUCUUCUCGAGACACGGCAAUAUCUAUGAAGUGUGCUGGCUUGUUCAGUGACAAGACAACCUUUGAUUAUCCUGCCAAAAAAAGAGACCCAAACCAAGACCUUAACAUGCGCCAGCAAUUAUCUGGUAUCUUGCUCUAGAAUGCUCCUUGUAGCUGAUGAACAGCAAGCCAGCUGUCAAACAGGGCUGUAGAGACUCAUUAUAAAAGCCCACGUCACCGCUCAGGAUUCAAUUUUGCAAUACAGCCAGGUCAAGCACAGCCCAAUUCCUUCUAGCAAGAGUUUUUUGGGAAAUGAGUGUGUGUAGCUACAAGAAACAGAUCUUACAUGUUCUAUGUGCCUUUCAAGCCUCCCAGUGGAUUGAAUAAUACUUUGCUUCCUAAGUAAGAGUCAAAUUCUCUUCUUCCUAAUACUAUUCUGAUGAUUCGCAGAACAAAAAUAUUGAGGCACUGGAACAUGUUGCCCACAAAAGUUGUGGAUGCCCCACCCCUGGAGGUGCACAAGGCCAGGUUGGAUGGGGCCCUGGGCAGCCUGAGCUGGUGGGGGGCAACCAGCCCAUGAGGGACAGUUGGAACCGGGUGGGCCUUAUGGUCUCUUCCAACUUAAGACAUUCUAUGAUUCUAUGAUUCCCACCAUAUUAUGCAUAUUACUCCAAGUGAGCAAAUCUAAUGCUGUUUAUUUUUAUUUCCUCAAUGUCUGAGUGAUUCAUUUGGCUCAGAAAACGGAUUUCACUAUCAUUUCAAGCAACUGCUAAUUAGAAUGACUGAAAGCUUGUACUUAAUUCCAGCCUCAAAGAAGCCAAUGGUUCACAUUAAAUAUCAGAUAAGGUGAAACAUCUCAGUUUAGUCUAGCUAUACGUUUGUCAGAUUUCUUUGUAGAGUUCAAGCAUGAGUAAGAUACAACCAAUGAGAAGGAAAUCAGAUAUCACCAGACUCUAAGUAACACUCACAGAGCAUAAUCCUCUCCAUUCAUUUUAGGUGCACUGAAGUUCAAAGCUCAGAUGAAGCAGAUUUUUUUGAGGAAAAAUCUAACGCACAGAAUUAGUGAAAUAACACAUAAAUCAUCCACCUCUGUUUUCAUGUCAAAAUGCUCCAUGGAGCUGAAGUGAGAAAGGCUUUUGCAAAUUCAGUUAAGCAAGAGUAAUUGAAGCUCAAAGAACAGGCUGAUUUGGUGGUAUAUCCACCAGGUACGCAGAGAUAGGGUCUGGUGACGAGGGGCUUCUCAGAUCUCUGGAUAUUCUUUUCAGAUGAUGACAAAGCUGCUGCCCUUGACAUAGCUAAUGUAGUUUACAGGCACAGAAACUAAGGCAGGUAUUUUUGGAAUAUCUGCCUUAAUUUCCAUUUGAGAGCUUCCAGUAUGGUGCAAAUUCAAGCAAUAUUUUCAUUAACUAUCUGGUCACACAACACAUCGCAGUAGUAACCCUAGGAGCUGGGACAUGGUAGAGGAUUAACCGCUUGAAUUCUCUCAGCCCUACCCUUGCUAAGAUCAGAUGGCAGAGGUAUUUAAUAUUUUUCACCACUCCCAUAAAAAAUAUAAGACUUACAAGCCAAAACAAAAAACAACAACAACAACAAAAAAACACCAAGCCAAACCAAGCAAACAACAACAACAACAAAAAGGCAUUUUACUAUUGUCAAAUAACACGUGGAUUUAGCUGUCUCAUCCUCAAACACUCAGGUAUGAACCAGAGAAGUGGUAGAGUCACUGUCCCUGGAGGUGUACAAGAAACGUGGAUAUGGUUAGUGGGCAUGGUGGGGAUAGGCUGGCAGUUGGAUUAGAUCUUAGAGCCCUUUUCCAACCUUAAUGAUUCUGUGAUUCGACUCUAUAACCAUCCUCCUGCCUGACAUUAAACCUCUCAUUAUUUAGUAUUUGCCUCAGAAAGGCAAACACUGUUCUUUAAGGGAAGCUACAAACUGGACACGGUUUAUCCCAGUGUCCCAUGCACAGCCAUCCCCACCACUCUUCUCAUCUGGAAACCCCCAUAUGCAUCAUUUUAAAGCUUUGGGCAUAAUCCAGCAGUUAUUUUUUCUGCAGUUCUGCUGCUUCUGCAACUCUUACUCUGGAGUACACCUAACACAUCCAGUUGCCCUGGAGCCAGGGCUUUACCUGUGCUCAUUCACCAUAAAACCCUGUUGUUCUGUGGGAACAUCUGCUCAUUUGAGCUCCACCCAAACACCCCACACAUUCUUCAGAAAUUUCUCUUUCUACAGGUCUAGUUGCUUUUUGCCAACAGCAAUAUACACACUUGACAUGCUAAGAAGAAGUAUUUAGUGGGGGGAGGAAAAUGCGUUCCUCAUAAAUUAUUCUCACUGCAGAAUGGAGAGUCGCAAGCUAACACUCCUGUACUUUAGGAAACCUGUUUGCAAAAGUGAAGGAGCCUGACUGAGUCAGUUAAGGUGAAAUAUUUGCCAUUUCCUUUCCAUAAUACACUUCAAAAAAGCAUUUAUGGCAGUUUACCCAGGUACUAUACAAACUGCUCGUUACUACCGGCUUAAGCAAGAUGGAGAGCUAUGCAGCACCCCAAGACACAAACCCCACAUUUGAAUCCACACUUGGUGAGAGACAGGGGAAGGGAUUUCUACCAAUGCUUCUGCCACAGCUUCUGUGAAACAGGCUGAGAGUUUGGGCCUGGUUUCUGGCCAGAUCCUGUUCCUUAUCUCCCUGGUGAUGAUCCAUCUCUGAUAACAAUAACUGAAUUUACAUGGAAGAGCAAAAGCCCUGCUCUGGUGGAUGUGGAAGAAAGCACAGACAGACACAGGGUAUGGGGGUUUUAGGAAUUUUCUGUCUUGAUAGAGCCCCACAUUUGCAAUUUC
ensembl:lncRNA